AAGCUUGAGGAGAAAUCUCUAGCAAGGAGAAAUCUCUACCGGAAGCUUUUUCAUUCAAGUAAGUUUUCUUACUAUGUAAAUUAAGUUUCAUUAUAUUUCAUAAUACAAGUUUUCUUCAUAGAAAAACUCAUACUCUCUAAAAGCUCAUAUCCCUGAUAUAGCCAUUAAAAACCUAGGUUUGGUUAAGAGGCUUUAGGGAAUCGGUUUUAAGCACCUUAGAGAACUGGUUUUAGGUACCAUCUAUGAAGAAAAAAUGGCAAAACCUAAUAU
rnacentral:lncRNA from 1 species